ensembl:lncRNA
GACCAUUGUUUUGUCUAACCGGGCAGAAUAUAGGCAAGGAGGAACUCAGAAGGGAUGUUGUUGUUAGUGCCACGGAGUCAUUUCUGACUCCUAGGGACCCGGUGUCCAGGAGAGUGGAACUCUGCCCCGUCUUUUUACACCAUCCUUUCACCUUCCUGUGCCGCAUCAGACAGUGCGCCCUGCUAUUUAUAGGGUUUUCGUGGCCAAUUCUUUUGGAAUUGGGUGGCCAGGUCCUUCUUUCUAGUCUGUCUAGUCUGGAAGCUCCACUGAAACCUGUCCACGACGGGUGACCCUGCUGGUAUUUGAAAUGCCGGUGGCAGAGCUGUCAGCAUCACAGCCACAUGCAGCUGCCACGGUGUGACACCUGACAGACAGGGGUGCGGUUCCCUGACUGGGAAACAAACCCCAGGCGGUGGUGGUGAGAGUGCAGGGUCUCAACCACGAGACCACCAGGGCUGGCUCAGAAAGGGAUGAGGGCAGUGUGAAAACAGGAUGACCAAGAAGAGGAGCCUCCAGAUGGAAGGGUUCCUGACUCCUCGGGGAGAGACCAGCACCUCAGCAGAUACCUCCCGCCAAUAAAAAUAUGGACACUGAGAAUUCCAGAAGUAAACAGAUUUGCCCAUCCAUCAGAGCAUAGACAAUAAACGCCACGGUCUUUACUACUCCCUCACUCCCGAGAAGUACAGCGCACCAGACAGAAAUGCUUUUGGCUGCAGAUAACAGAAUGCCAGCUAAUAAAAACUUCAGAAACAGAAGCGUUCAGUUACUGAACUUAACUAGGAGCGGGAAGGCAGGCAACUCCCAGGUUUGUUGCGAGUGCCAACAGUGUCACCAAGCACCCAGCCAUCCUCAGCUUACUGGUUUUCGAGCUUCGUGAGUGUGGUCAUAGAAGGCUGCCACAGCUCUGGGCAUCCCGAGCAAAUGCCAGUGGCGAGCCCGAGGGCACUCUGCUUGCCCCCUGCAGCUCAGCCCGGCUUCAUACAGAUCCUCUGGCUUGUCUGCUGGCCGCUGUGUUGCGAUGACAGAGAAGAGCCCAGGGUGCCGGACAAAGUCUGGGGCUGGAGGCCGAUCCCUCGUCGUUCCUGCCCACGGUCUCACUGAGCGAGAGUCACGGAGGCUCUCUGCACCUCCAUUUCCUCAUGGGGACCUGGAGUUUUAGAGCAUUCACAUGGCAUGUCCGAACGUAACCAUGGAUAUGAAGGUGUGAAAUCACAGUUGGAACUCAGGAGACUCUCUCUACGAUAUCACACUGCCUUUGAAAUCACUCAAAAUUGUCUUUUAAAGGAAAUCCUGCCAUUUGUGUCAACAUGAUGGACCCUAAGGACAUUAUGGCUGGAAAUCUGAUGAGACAGUAGCCCAGCCUCAACCAGAGGUGAAGUGGACACUCUAGGGAUGGUGCAGAAACAAGCUGGAAGCAAGCUGGGGUGGCUGGUGGAGCAGAGCACCCCCACCCCACCCCGCACUAACCAGAGUGUCAGGAAAGAGAGAAAGAAAGCUGACUGACGUGGAGAAACUGAGGCUGAGAGAGAUUAAGCUUCUUGCCUACGGUACCACAGUAAAUAGUUGUAGGUCCCUCUGGUUGUGCCAUGUGGGACACCGCCUCAGCAUGGCCUGACGAGUGGUGCCAUGUCUACGCCGAGGAUCCCAAUCGGGGAAAACCUGAGCUGCCAAAGCAGAGCGCACGAACUUCACCACUCCGUCAUGGGGCCAGCCCCCAAGGGCAGUUCUGAUUGGAUAUCUUAAUGAAUCUUAUCUAGAAAAGGCGACGAAUAGAAAGAGGCUAAAGAGUGGAAGAGAAGUCCCCAUGAACGGAAGGUGAAGCACUUCCAUUUUGUCCUCACCACAAACGUCUCCAGUGUGUAAAGUCAUUACUCCCAGCUCACAGGAGAAGAAACCCAAGCUUAGGACGGUCAAGGAGCUUGUCCACAGACGCACGGCCAAUGGUCCGACCUGGAGCCUGUGCUCUCAGCCUCUCCCCCAGCUUCCCUCUCUCCUUGAGCUUCUCAAGGCCUUCACUUGCUUAUCUGAAACCUGGGAAGAAAGCUGGCACCUUCUUCCCUCCGGUGGCCUGCGGCUCAGCCGGCGGGAUGCGCUGUUGGCUGUGAGCGGCCUUGCAGAGACGGGGGCAUCCUCCCUGCUGUGGCUUCGAGGGCAGCGUCAUCACAAAGGCCCUUAGCACGGACGCUUGAGAAAGGCUGAUUCCAGCGCGAAGUGAGGACAGUCUCUCCACAGCAAGUGCUCCUGAGAGAGCUGGGCUCCCUCUGAGGUGGGAAGCCG